GGGGAGGCGAGCACGAGCCACAGCCUAUUUAAAGAAGAAGCUCGCGGCUCGUCGGUCUUUACCUCAGCGGACACGUGUGAGUGGAGGGAAUCGAACGCGUCCAGGCUUCACAAAGUCAAACCUCAUCAUGGGCUCCUUCAUCUGUCCCGACGGGUUUUAUCUGGAUCAAAUGCCAUUUGUUGGACCCCUGUAUGAUCCUGAUGGAGGAUGAUGACGGUGGUGUCUGAUCUUCAGAAGAAUCCUGUCCUAAUGACAUCACUGGUAACAUCACAACUUGUAGUUACAGCAGUGUGACUACUGGUGAAAUGGGUCUGAAAGCACCUCCUGUCUGCACCAGCUCUGUUUGAAAAGCCUCAUGGUUUAAACAUGAAACCAGGUGAGACAUUGCAGCAGCUGUGAAAGACCCUGUUGAGCAGUCUGAAGUAGUCAAGCUUUACAGGUGAGACACUGAACCCCUGAUGGAAAUUGGACCAGUGGAACAUCCUCUUCCUGAAACUUGUGACUAAAUGUAAAUUUAUUUGUCUUUCAUCUGACAUUGUCUUACACGUAAUGCAUUGAAGCAGUAUGAAUCUACAUUGUACUUGUGUUUGUUAAGAAAUAAAAAUGCUAUUCAACUCCA